UCUCAGUUCAACUACCAUGCAUUGCCGGUCACUCCCUUUAAUUAGCACAAUUCUAAUAUACAAAAUUCUAAGAAUUGAUUUUAAUUAAACUUGAUCUUCCAGUCAGUUGAAUUAUUGAUAAUUUUUCUAAUUUGACUCGUCUUUGUUAAAUUAAUGUCUCUGUGAAGUGUAAACUAAGCAGAAGAAAAGGUCAAAUUUAUACAACAUUACUAGUACAGCUUUGUGACCUCGUAGCUUCUUUACGCAGCACAAAUAUAAGAUAGCUACAACUUACAAGAAGAAUUUGAAAAGCUUGUGCAGCAUCUGAAAAUGCCAACGACAAGUUCGACCACAUCUGAGGGAUGUCAAUGUUGUUGUUUUCAUUUCGGGUGCUUCGCGGGCUUCCGGCUUCCUCUUCCUGCACCUUGUGCCAGAAUAAGACACUGGAUUCACAGUGGAAGAUCAAUCAGAAAUAUUCUUAGAAGUUGUUGCAAAUAAUUUGUUUUACUCUACAUCGUUCAUCAAUUAAUCAAUCAAUUUAACCAUCUCAUCAAUUUUCCUUUCAUUCAUCAGUAGAAAUUAUCCAUCAAUCAAUUAUCCAACGAUCAUUUUACUAUCAAUAGUAACAAUUGUAUUAUUUAAGUAUUAUUUUUCAUUAUUAAUAAAAUAAAUCAAUGAAAAAAUGUCAA